rnacentral:rRNA from 1 species
GCGAUAAGCGUCGGUAAGGUGAUAUGAACCGUUAUAACCGGCGAUUUCCGAAUGGGGAAACCCAGUGUGAUUCGUCACACUAUCAUUAACUGAAUCCAUAGGUUAAUGAGGCGAACCGGGGGAACUGAAACAUCUAAGUACCCCGAGGAAAAGAAAUCAACCGAGAUUCCCCCAGUAGCGGCGAGCGAACGGGGAGCAGCCCAGAGCCUGAAUCAGUGUGUGUGUUAGUGGAAGCGUCUGGAAAGGCGUGCGAUACAGGGUGACAGCCCCGUACACAAAAAUGCACAUACUGUGAGCUCGAUGAGUAGGGCGGGACACGUGGUAUCCUGUCUGAAUAUGGGGGGACCAUCCUCCAAGGCUAAAUACUCCUGACUGACCGAUAGUGAACCAGUACCGUGAGGGAAAGGCGAAAAGAACCCCGGCGAGGGGAGUGAAAAAGAACCUGAAACCGUGUACGUACAAGCAGUGGGAGCACGCUUAGGCGUGUGACUGCGUACCUUUUGUAUAAUGGGUCAGCGACUUAUAUUCUGUAGCAAGGUUAACCGAAUAGGGGAGCCGAAGGGAAACCGAGUCUUAACUGGGCGUUAAGUUGCAGGGUAUAGACCCGAAACCCGGUGAUCUAGCCAUGGGCAGGUUGAAGGUUGGGUAACACUAACUGGAGGACCGAACCGACUAAUGUUGAAAAAUUAGCGGAUGACUUGUGGCUGGGGGUGAAAGGCCAAUCAAACCGGGAGAUAGCUGGUUCUCCCCGAAAGCUAUUUAGGUAGCGCCUCGUGAAUUCAUCUCCGGGGGUAGAGCACUGUUUCGGCAAGGGGGUCAUCCCGACUUACCAACCCGAUGCAAACUGCGAAUACCGGAGAAUGUUAUUACGGGAGACACACGGCGGGUGCUAACGUCCGUCGUGAAGAGGGAAACAACCCAGACCGCCAGCUAAGGUCCCAAAGUCAUGGUUAAGUGGGAAACGAUGUGGGAAGGCCCAGACAGCCAGGAUGUUGGCUUAGAAGCAGCCAUCAUUUAAAGAAAGCGUAAUAGCUCACUGGUCGAGUCGGCCUGCGCGGAAGAUGUAACGGGGCUAAACCAUGCACCGAAGCUGCGGCAGCGACGCUUAUGCGUUGUUGGGUAGGGGAGCGUUCUGUAAGCCUGUGAAGGUGUGCUGUGAGGUAUGCUGGAGGUAUCAGAAGUGCGAAUGCUGACAUAAGUAACGAUAAAGCGGGUGAAAAGCCCGCUCGCCGGAAGACCAAGGGUUCCUGUCCAACGUUAAUCGGGGCAGGGUGAGUCGACCCCUAAGGCGAGGCCGAAAGGCGUAGUCGAUGGGAAACAGGUUAAUAUUCCUGUACUUGGUGUUACUGCGAAGGGGGGACGGAGAAGGCUAUGUUGGCCGGGCGACGGUUGUCCCGGUUUAAGCGUGUAGGCUGGUUUUCCAGGCAAAUCCGGAAAAUCAAGGCCGAGGCGUGAUGACGAGGCACUACGGUGCUGAAGCAACAAAUGCCCUGCUUCCAGGAAAAGCCUCUAAGCAUCAGGUAACAUCAAAUCGUACCCCAAACCGACACAGGUGGUCAGGUAGAGAAUACCAAGGCGCUUGAGAGAACUCGGGUGAAGGAACUAGGCAAAAUGGUGCCGUAACUUCGGGAGAAGGCACGCUGAUACGUAGGUGAAGCGACUUGCUCGUGGAGCUGAAAUCAGUCGAAGAUACCAGCUGGCUGCAACUGUUUAUUAAAAACACAGCACUGUGCAAACACGAAAGUGGACGUAUACGGUGUGACGCCUGCCCGGUGCCGGAAGGUUAAUUGAUGGGGUUAGCGCAAGCGAAGCUCUUGAUCGAAGCCCCGGUAAACGGCGGCCGUAACUAUAACGGUCCUAAGGUAGCGAAAUUCCUUGUCGGGUAAGUUCCGACCUGCACGAAUGGCGUAAUGAUGGCCAGGCUGUCUCCACCCGAGACUCAGUGAAAUUGAACUCGCUGUGAAGAUGCAGUGUACCCGCGGCAAGACGGAAAGACCCCGUGAACCUUUACUAUAGCUUGACACUGAACAUUGAGCCUUGAUGUGUAGGAUAGGUGGGAGGCUUUGAAGUGUGGACGCCAGUCUGCAUGGAGCCGACCUUGAAAUACCACCCUUUAAUGUUUGAUGUUCUAACGUGGACCCGUGAUCCGGGUUGCGGACAGUGUCUGGUGGGUAGUUUGACUGGGGCGGUCUCCUCCUAAAGAGUAACGGAGGAGCACGAAGGUUGGCUAAUCCUGGUCGGACAUCAGGAGGUUAGUGCAAUGGCAUAAGCCAGCUUGACUGCGAGCGUGACGGCGCGAGCAGGUGCGAAAGCAGGUCAUAGUGAUCCGGUGGUUCUGAAUGGAAGGGCCAUCGCUCAACGGAUAAAAGGUACUCCGGGGAUAACAGGCUGAUACCGCCCAAGAGUUCAUAUCGACGGCGGUGUUUGGCACCUCGAUGUCGGCUCAUCACAUCCUGGGGCUGAAGUAGGUCCCAAGGGUAUGGCUGUUCGCCAUUUAAAGUGGUACGCGAGCUGGGUUUAGAACGUCGUGAGACAGUUCGGUCCCUAUCUGCCGUGGGCGCUGGAGAACUGAGGGGGGCUGCUCCUAGUACGAGAGGACCGGAGUGGACGCAUCACUGGUGUUCGGGUUGUCAUGCCAAUGGCACUGCCCGGUAGCUAAAUGCGGAAGAGAUAAGUGCUGAAAGCAUCUAAGCACGAAACUUGCCCCGAGAUGAGUUCUCCCUGACCCUUUAAGGGUCCUGAAGGAACGUUGAAGACGACGACGUUGAUAGGCCGGGUGUGUAAGCG